rnacentral:rRNA from 1 species
UACGUAGGUGGCAAGCGUUGUCCGGAUUUAUUGGGUUUAAAGGGUGCGUAGGCGGCUUAAUAAGUCAGUGGUGAAAGCCGAUCGCUUAACGAUCGAACUGCCAUUGAUACUGCUAGGCUUGAGUAUAGUUGAGGUAGGCGGAAUUGACAGUGUAGCGGUGAAAUUCGUAGAUAUUCGCAAGAACACCGGUGGCGAAGGCGGCGUUCUGGACUGCAACUGACACUGAGGAACGAAAGCCAGGGGAGCAAACGGG